rnacentral:rRNA from 1 species
AAUAGAUACCCCGGUAGUCCACGCCGUAAACGAUGAGUGCUAAGUGUUAGGGGGUUUCCGCCCCUUAGUGCUGCAGCUAACGCAUUAAGCACUCCGCCUGGGGAGUACGGUCGCAAGACUGAAACUCAAAGGAAUUGACGGGGGCCCGCACAAGCGGUGGAGCAUGUGGUUUAAUUCGAAGCAACGCGAAGAACCUUACCAGGUCUUGACAUCCCAUUGACCACUAUGGAGACAUAGUUUUCCCUUCGGGGACAACGGUGACAGGUGGUGCAUGGUUGUCGUCAGCUCGUGUCGUGAGAUAUUGGGUCAAGUCCCGCAACGAGCGCAACCCUUGUUCUUAGUUGCCAUCAUUUAGUUGGGCACUCUAAGGAGACUGCCGGUGACAAACCGGAGGAAGGUGGGGAUGACGUCAAAUCAUCAUGCCCCUUAUGACCUGGGCUACACACGUGCUACAAUGGACGGUACAAACGGUUGCCAACCCGCGAGGGGGAGCUAAUCCGAUAAAACCGUUCUCAGUUCGGAUUGUAGGCUGCAACUCGCCUACA